CCUACGGGAGGCAGCAGUGAGGAAUAUUGGUCAAUGGGCGCGAGCCUGAACCAGCCAAGUCGCGUGAGGGAAGACGGUCCUAUGGAUUGUAAACCUCUUUUGUCGGGGAGCAAAAGACGCCACUCGUUGCGGUACGAGAGUACCCGAAGAAAAAGCAUCGGCUAACUCCGUGCCAGCAGCCGCGGUAAUACGGAGGAUGCGAGCGUUAUCCGGAUUUAUUGGGUUUAAAGGGUGCGUAGAUGGGUUGGUAAGUCAGUUGUGAAAGUUUGGGGCUCAACCGUUAAAUUGCAAUUGAUACUGGCAGUCGUGAGUACGGGUGAGGCAGGCGGAAUGCGUGGUGUAGCGGUGAAAUGCUUAGAUAUCACGAAGAACGCCGAUUGCGAAGGCAGCUUACUAAACUGUCACUGACAUUGAUGCUCGAAAGUGUGGGGAUCAAACAGGAUUAGAUACCCUUGUAGUC
rnacentral:rRNA from 1 species